rnacentral:rRNA from 1 species
UAGCCUACGGGGGGCAGCAGUGGGGGAUAUUGCACAAUGGGGGAAACCCUGAUGCAGCGACGCCGCGUGAGCGAUGAAGUACUGCGGUAUGUAAAGCUCUAUCAGCAGGGAAGAAAAUGACGGUACCUGACUAAGAAGCCCCGGCUAACUACGUGCCAGCAGCCGCGGUAAUACGUAGGGGGCAAGCGUUAUCCGGAUUUACUGGGUGUAAAGGGAGCGUAGGCGGCGAUGCAAGUCAGAAGUGAAAGCCCGGGGCUCAACUCCGGGACUGCUUUUGAAACUGUGUUGCUAGAUUGCAGGAGAGG